AGCCUUUGGGUAAAGAUUAUUGCCCCAAGAGGAGCUCGCGUCUGAUUAGCUAGUUGGUGAGGUAAGAGCUCACCAAGGCAGCGAUCAGUAGCUGGUCUGAGAGGACGAUCAGCCACACUGGGACUGAGACACGGCCCAGACUCCUACGGGAGGCAGCAGUGGGAAAUUUUCCGGAAUGGGCGAAAGCCUGACGGAGCAAGACCGCGUGAGGGAGGAAGGCUCUUGGGUUGUAAACCUCUUUUCUCAGGGAAGAAGCUCUGACGGUACCUGAGGAAUCAGCCUCGGCUAACUCCGUGCCAGCAGCCGUGGUAAUACGGAGGAGGCCAGCGUNAUCCGGAAUUAUUGGGCGUAAAGCGUCCGCAGGUGGCGAUUCAAGUCUGCUGUCAAAGCACGGGGCUUAAGUCCGUUAAGGCAGUGGAAACUGAAUAGCUAGAGUGCCGUAGGGGUAGAAGGGAAUUCCCGGUGUAGCGGUGAAAUGCGUAGAGAUCGGGAAGAACAUCGGUGGCGAAAGCGCUCU
rnacentral:rRNA from 1 species